CUUCUGGUUCACGACCAAACAAUUAAGCUGGGAGACGAAUCUUUUAUAUUUUAUGGGUUAAGGCGCAUCGUGUAUCUCAGUGCCAGAGUGAAAAGCAGGCAGUGGUCAAAGCUUUGUGCCCCCCUGCAGAUAGAAGAAAAAUAAGGGAAGUUUCAAAGUCCAAGACAAGGUAAAAGGGACGGAGGUCACAAGCAUCUCAUCAAUCACUGUGCCGGAGGAAACCUGGCACCUUCCAUAUUAAAAGGGAACAGAAAAUCAAGAACUAUAAUUAAUAUGAUAAGCCGGGCAAAUAUAAAAGCUCCUGAGCUUGUAAAUGCACCAUCUGGAGGAAACGAUGCUGUUGAAAAGUAAAGUUUAGAAAAACAACAACAACAACAUGCCAAAAGGGGGCUGUGUGGAGCUGAGGAGAGCCGAGUGAUCAUUCUACUCUAUUCAUCACUGAGAUUGACUCCUUUUUCAUUAAAAAAAUGUUAUUUCAGCCACUAUAUAUUUUAAAAAUGAAUUAUAGCUGCUUCAAAUGAGCUGCCAAUCUAGAAAAUAAACGCAUUAGCUUUCCUGUCGCUAACGAUACCGAUCUGUAUGCUUACAUAUCGGCUAUAGAGACCCAGUAGUUGAUUAACUUAGCUUGGCAUAAAGACAGUUCAUCAAUUAUGUCUAGCUGUAGCUUUAUUGUUCACUUUUUAUACAUUAUGUAUAUUAUUGACAUACUGAAAUAUUGGCUUAACAAUAGUUGAAUAAAAUGGACUUCAUAC
ensembl:lncRNA